rnacentral:rRNA from 1 species
AACGAACGCUGGCGGCAUGCCUAACACAUGCAAGUCGAACGAGACCUUCGGGUCUAGUGGCGCACGGAUGCGUAACGCGUGGGAACCUGCCCUUAGGUUCGGAAUAACUCCCCGAAAGGGGUGCUAAUACCGGAUAAUGUCUUCGGACCAAAGAUUUAUCGCCUUUGGAUGGGCCCGCGUUGGAUUAGCUAGUUGGUAGGGUAAAAGCCUACCAAGGCGACGAUCCAUAGCUGGUCUGAGAGGAUGAUCAGCCACACUGGGACUGAGACACGGCCCAGACUCCUACGGGAGGCAGCAGUGGGGAAUAUUGGACAAUGGGCGAAAGCCUGAUCCAGCAAUGCCGCGUGAGUGAUGAAGGCCUUAGGGUUGUAAAGCUCUUUUACCGGGGAUGAUAAUGACAGUACCGGGAGAAUAAGCUCCGGCUAACUCCGUG